AGUGGAGGGAAUAGCCUCUCACUGGAGAUCCCUGUCUCCCAGAGGUCUUCUGAGGUCUGGAUGAGUCCCAUGUGCAGUCCUGGCCAUUCCCAAAUGCUGGAUAUGCAGCUCGUGGAUCUGUGUCAUGCUAUAAUGUGCUGGGACAUGCUUUCAAGAAAAUGCACAGGAACAGAAACAAUUUCUGACUUUACCCAUCUCCUCCAUGGAUGACGUGAAGGUGACCAGCUGUUGGUUGAGUAGUGCAGAGACCUUUGGAGAACCAUACGUGUUCAGCUGGGGAUGAAGGGCUAAAUUCAGACCAUUUGUGCUCUUGGCAUGAUACUCACCCUCAUCAGCGCUGUGUUUGCUUUAGAAGUCUGACUUAGCUGGCAUGUCUCCGUCAUUGGCUAAUGAGGAUUAAUUCUGAUUCUCUUCAGGCUUCAGAGAAACAGAUUGUGGAGGGGCUUUCAUCACAGGGGGAAUUAAAGAAGCUAGCAAAGUAUCUUAACCCAAACCACGCCACUGAUGGCUUUCAGUCAGAAAGGAGGACAGAUGAGAUUAACCUCAAAACCCCUCUGCUUCCUUGUGGGGACUAUAAACCUCAGUGCCAAGUGAGAGAAGAAUGCAGGAAAAGAAUCGUUUUAAUGUGGAUGUGUAAGAAACUGGACCACCAAGUCCAUUCCACAUUGGCCACUGAGCAGUCAUCAGAGGGUGUUGACUUUUGACCACUACUGUUUUUGUUAACAAGGAAAAUAAAACCAUAUGUUGCCUAAGUAGAUGCACAAAACUUUUCUCCAAAUCCCUACAGACAAACUGUCAGCAGCAAAAGUAUUUACUUUGGUAAUGCAGCUGGGCUUAAUCCCAGCCCCAUUGUGUUUGUGCAUGCCUUUUCACCACUGAGCUCAAUAACACGCUGCUUGUGAAGAGGGUGAAUGAAUGCCUGCAGUAUGAUUUCUGUUAUUAGGCCUAUCGGUUACAUCCCGAGACAAAAGGCUGGAAUCAACAAUGGUAGCACUACAUAGGCACUGCUCAUGCUUUGAGUUAGGCUAAGUGGAAAUCUUAGUCAUCAGUCACAUCAACUAGCCAUCAGCUUGAGGUAGGCCAGCGGGACUUGGCCCAGUGGUGCGGAUCCUCAGCUGGCUUAAAUCAGCGUAAAGCUAGUGUAGUCCACAGAGCCCCAGCUGAGGAUUCUGGCGCCUACUGUCUAUUUGUGAGCUUAGUGGUUGCUGAAUACUUAAUUCACUGGGCUGCAAGCUGCUGCGGCUGAGCAGCUGGGGGUAGCAUAGCCUGGUGGGGUCCCCAGCUGGGAUCUCUGCAGGUAUAGACAUCAUCUGGGGUCAGGUUCAGAGUGACAGGACCACCACACGCUGCUCCUCCUCUCCCUCCCGUUUCCCUGGUAUUCCCA
ensembl:lncRNA